rnacentral:rRNA from 1 species
GAGUUUGAUCCUGGCUCAGGACGAACGCUGGCGGCGCGCCUAACACAUGCAAGUCGAACGAGCGAGAGAGAGCUUGCUUUCUCGAGCGAGUGGCGAACGGGUGAGUAACGCGUGAGGAACCUGCCUCAAAGAGGGGGACAACAGUUGGAAACGACUGCUAAUACCGCAUGACAUAUCGGGGUCGCAUGGCUCUGGUAUCAAAGAUUUAUCGCUGAAAGAUGGCCUCGCGUCUGAUUAGCUGGUUGGUGAGGUAACGGCCCACCAAGGCGACGAUCAGUAGCCGGACUGAGAGGUUGACCGGCCACAUUGGGACUGAGACACGGCCCAGACUCCUACGGGAGGCAGCAGUGGGGAAUAUUGCACAAUGGGGGAAACCCUGAUGCAGCGACGCCGCGUGAGUGAAGAAGUAUUUCGGUAUGUAAAGCUCUAUCAGCAGGGAAGAUAAUGACGGUACCUGACUAAGAAGCCCCGGCUAACUACGUGCCAGCCGCCGCGGUAAUAC